UGGUCCAUACAGGGGGAUAACACUUAGAAAUAGGUGCUAAUACCGCAUAACAACAGAAAGCGCAUGCUUUUUGUUUGAAAACCAAGGUGGUAUGGGAUGGACCCGCGUCUGAUUAGCUGGUUGGCGGGGUAAAGGCCCACCAAGGCGACGAUCAGUAGCCGGCCUGAGAGGGUGGACGGCCACAUUGGGACUGAGACACGGCCCAAACUCCUACGGGAGGCAGCAGUGGGGAAUAUUGCACAAUGGGGGAAACCCUGAUGCAGCGACGCCGCGUGAGUGAAGAAGUAAUUCGUUAUGUAAAGCUCUAUCAGCAGGGAAGAAAAUGACGGUACCUGAGUAAGAAGCCCCGGCUAACUACGUGCCAGCAGCCGCGGUAAUACGUAGGGGGCAAGCGUUAUCCGGAUUUACUGGGUGUAAAGGGAGCGUAGACGGCAGUGCAAGUCUGGAGUGAAAGGCGGGGGCUCAACCCCCGGACUGCUCUGGAAACUGUACGGCUGGAGUGCAGGAGAGGUAAGUGGAAUUCCUAGUGUAGCGGUGAAAUGCGUAGAUAUUAGGAGGAACACCAGUGGCGAAGGCGGCUUACUGGACUGUAACUGACGUUGAGGCUCGAAAGCGUGGGGAGCAAACAGGAUUAGAUACCCUGGUAGUCCACGCCGUAAACGAUGAUCACUAGGUGU
rnacentral:rRNA from 1 species